rnacentral:rRNA from 1 species
GAUGAACGCUGGCGGCGUGCCUAAUACAUGCAAGUCGAGCGAACAGACGAGGAGCUUGCUCCUCUGACGUUAGCGGCGGACGGGUGAGUAACACGUGGAUAACCUACCUAUAAGACUGGGAUAACUUCGGGAAACCGGAGCUAAUACCGGAUAAUAUAUUGAACCGCAUGGUUCAAUAGUGAAAGACGGUUUUGCUGUCACUUAUAGAUGGAUCCGCGCCGCAUUAGCUAGUUGGUAAGGUAACGGCUUACCAAGGCAACGAUGCGUAGCCGACCUGAGAGGGUGGUCGGCCACACGGGAAGUGAGACACGGCCCAGACUCCUACGGGAGGACGCAGUAGGGAAUCUUACGCAAUGGGCGAAAGCUUGACGGAGCAACGCCGCGUGAGUGAUGAAGGUCUUAGGAUCGUAAAAUUCUGUUAUUAGGGAAGAACAAAUGUGUAAGUAACUAUGCUCGUCUUGACGGUACCUAAUCAGAAAGCCACGGCUAACUACGUG